rfam:Felis catus isolate Cinnamon breed Abyssinian chromosome B2, whole genome shotgun sequence.
GCCUGGGUGGCUCAGUCAGUUAAGCGUCUGACUUCAGCUCAGGUCAUGAUCUCACCAUUUGUGGGUUUGAGCCCCGCGUCGGGCU